CACGUAGGCGGAUUGUUAAGUUAGGGGUGAAAUCCCAGGGCUCAACCCUGGAACUGCCUUUAAUACUGGCAAUCUCGAGUCCGAGAGAGGUGAGUGGAAUUCCGAGUGUAGAGGUGAAAUUCGUAGAUAUUCGGAGGAACACCAGUGGCGAAGGCGGCUCACUGGCUCGGUACUGACGCUGAGGUGCGAAAGCGUGGGGAGCAAACA
rnacentral:rRNA from 1 species